ACGGGAGGCAGCAGUGGGGGAUAUUGCACAAUGGGGGAAACCCUGAUGCAGCGACGCCGCGUGAGUGAUGAAGUAUUUCGGUAUGUAAAGCUCUAUCAGCAGGAAAGAUAAUGACGGUACCUGACUAAGAAGCACCGGCUAAAUACGUGCCAGCAGCCGCGGUAAUACGUAUGGUGCAAGCGUUAUCCGGAUUUACUGGGUGUAAAGGGAGCGCAGACGGCAUGGCAAGCCAGAUGUGAAAGGCAGGGGCUCAACUCCUGGACUGCAUUUGGAACUGUCAAGCUAGAGUGCAGGAGAGGAAAGCGGAAUUCCUAGUGUAGCGGUGAAAUGCGUAGAUAUUAGGAGGAACACCAGUGGCGAAGGCGGCUUUCUGGACUGUAACUGACACUGAGGCACGAAAGCGUGGGGAGCAAACAGGAUUAGAUACCCUGGUA
rnacentral:rRNA from 1 species